CAACACAGUUAACAAGGCAGAGACAGAGGAGCCUGUGGGAAAGCACACAGUUAGAACUGACUUUUUUCAGAACUAUGAACAGCAACACAUUUAAAAGGAUGAAAACGUCGACAAUUUCCAUACCUUGUCAAUAAUCCAGAGCUGGGCGUGUCCGAUCGACUGCAUUCACCGCGCAUCUUGAUAUUUUAAAAUAGAAGAUAUUUUCAAAUUAAAAGUCUCUUCGCUGCCGAGGUAAAAACGCGGCGUGCUAUCUGGGUCCCGUCAUUCCCACGCUGUUUGCGAAACGAAAGUGAAGAGGCUGCGGGCGGAAAGUUUCGAUUCCCGGCUUCGCGUUUUAACUCCACGUUCUGUGGGGCGUUCAUGCAAGAUCGAGCGCCACAGUUGAGUUUUUUUUUUUUUUUUUAAGAUUCAGAAUAGGUUUAAUCUUUUUAAGAACUUUAGCGGUUCCCUGCAGUGCCGCAUGCCGAGACCGGUCUUAUAUAGCGCGUUAUAGCCGCGAAGCGAAACCUAGGCAGAAUCGAAAUCGAACCUCGGCGUGUAAUCGUGAUGGGAUCGUCGGGCGCGUAUAAACCCGGUGGUCUGGUCUUCAGACCCCACCCGUGUACGAAAGCACGUCCCCUCACUAGAACCCCGCAGCCAGGCCAGCAUGGCGGUUCUAUUAAACGCCCUGCUCGCGUUCUGUGAGUAUUUCAUAAAAAUGGAAUUCCAGGGGAUCGAAAUUGAAGUGGCUCGAAAUGAUGACUUUUGGUUCUUUCCAACAAGGUGUUCAUGCAUCAUAUGUCAGCCCCACCGCUUCCUCACAGACCCAUAUGAUCCGAGGUAAGGAGAACGCCACCCUGACCUGCAGCAUCCCCGUCAACUCCACAGAUGCAGUCAUAUGGUUCCACCAGCGAGCAGUGGACCUGACUGCAGUGCUCAAGGUCGAGAUCUCCACAAGAACGGGGGACUUGAUGUACACCCAAACUAUGGGGGAUCGAUUCGAUCUGCGCUGGGAUAGACUGAGCAGCGUGAUCAGUCUGGUGGUCACCGACGUCCGAGAAUCAGAUUUGGGGACCUAUCACUGCAUCAUGCAACAGAACAAGAUGGUGCAUUUGGGGACAAGCGUCAAACUGGCGUUUCUAGGUGAAGAGAGUGGGUGUCCUGAUCUCUGCUGGGUGCUUGCGGCUGGCAUGGGUGCUGCUUCUGCCGUCCUGUGUGCGCUCUGUACUUACUUCCUCCGCCACCUUCAAGGUGUCCACCAUUUUUUUCCCUUGUGCAGAAUAAGUGCUAGACUGUGCAUAACUAUAAUACUGCUGUUUCAUUUCUUCUUCCGAAUCCUUAACAGGCAAAACCCGCACUCGAGAACAGAAGGUAUUUUUUUAUAUUAAAAAAGUAUGCACUCACUAAAAAUGUCACAACCCAUGCGUACUGUAUUUAAGACAUGUCAUUGGUUAUAGGGUGGGGACGUGCACUAUGCCAGCCUGAAAGUUUUACGUCCAAAAAAAGAGUUCUGCUCAGAAGGACCUAUCAUUCCGUUCAGAUGAGGUGACCUAUGCAGCUGUGGCACAUCGAACCUCCGGCAAUCCCAGUGCUUGAUAAGCAAGCUUGUAUGUGUGUGUGAGUGAGAGAAUAAGCCAUACCAGCAUCGUCAUAUUUACUCAUAUUUAAUGCUGAUCACUUCAACGGCAGACACCAGUGAUACCAGUGCGUUACAUCAUGACUAGUGAAAUGAACAAAGACCGGUAUCUCUUCUCAGGCUUGGUCAGGUACUGCAAUGGCGAUGGUGGAGUAGAUGACCUGAUGUGUCUUGUCCUGCACUCUUCCUUUCUCUCUCCAGUUCUGGUGACCCAAAGAAGCAUAGUGGAGCUCACUGUCCCCUGUAUCAGGGCAAAUCUGCACACAUACACACGCUUAUUAUGAAUUACUAAACUCUGAGCAUAAACAUAAUUACAGUAAUAUCUUCAUAAACGGCUGAAGGCAUUGCAAUAUCUUUACUUACUCCAUUCUCAUCAUCACUCUGAGAUGAUUCUGAACCUACAGCACAUUGGAAUGCUCUUAUUUUACAAUUAAAUUCAUCUCACUUUCAAUCUGUUGUAUCAAGUGUAGUGGACAACACUAUCACCUGUCUGUGCCAGUCUGUGGGUUUGAAGCAUCAUGUCCUGAUUAAAUCUUGAUCCUAAGAACAUUCAAAGUUAGGUUUUAUAUUUAUUUUUGUUUUAAAUAUACAUAUCAUGUGCAAAACAUACAGUACAGGCCAAAAGUUUGGACACACCUUCUCAUUCAAUGUGCUUUCUUUAUUUUCAUGACCAUUUACGUUGGUAGAUUCUCACUGAAGGCAUCAGAACUAUGAAUGAACACAUGUGGAGUUACGUACUUAACAAAAAAAAG
rnacentral:lncRNA from 1 species